rnacentral:rRNA from 1 species
CGGGGUCAACUCGGAGGAAGGUGGGGACGACGUCAAGUCAUCAUGCCCCUUAUGUCCAGGGCUUCACACAUGCUACAAUGGCCAGUACAGAGGGCUGCGAGACCGUGAGGUGGAGCGAAUCCCUUAAAGCUGGUCUCAGUUCGGAUCGGGGUCUGCAACUCGACCCCGUGAAGUCGGAGUCGCUAGUAAUCGCAGAUCAGCAACGCUGCGGUGAAUACGUUCCCGGGCCUUGUACACACCGCCCGUCACGUCAUGAAAGUCGGUAACACCCGAAGCCGGUGGCUUAACCCCUUGUGGGAGGGAGCUGUGCAAUAUUCCCCACUGCUGCCUCCCGUAGGAGUCUGGGCCGUGUCUCAGUCCCAGUGUGGCCGGUCACCCUCUCAGGUCGGCUACCCGUCGUCGCCUUGGUAGGCCAUUACCCCACCAACAAGCUGAUAGGCCGCGGGCCCAUCCUGCACCGAUAAAUCUUUCCACCACCCACCAUGCGAUAGGAGGUCAUAUCCGGUAUUAGACCCAGUUUCCCAGGCUUAUCCCGAAGUGCAGGGCAGAUCACCCACGUGUUAUC